UCCAGCAUCUCCAAUCUUCGUCGUUACGUUUUCAUCUUCUUUUACUCCUUCCAAGUUCCAACAAUGGCUUCCUGAAUUCGAUUCUGGAGCUCCAUCGCCACCAUCGUCAAUCCAAAGAUCACAUCAUGAAGCUUGCUCUUUCCAUCCUGUUCCUCUCUCUCUCAGGCUUCUCCUCUUUUCUUCGUCCUGCCACCGCUAGAGGCGGCCUUCACAGUUCCUACCCUCCAGGAAAGAUUAUUUUGCAUGUCCAGACGACGAGACAUUCCGGUUCUUAGCAAGUGUAUAUAGUCGCUCUCGCUACAAUAUGUCAUUGCGCAAGGAAUUUGAGGGAGGGAUUACGAAUCGAGCUUUCUGACACCUGUUGUAGGUACCCUAUAUAUGGAGGCAUGCAAGAUUGGAACUACAAAAAUGGUGGCUGUUUUGAAUUGACCUUGGAGAUUAGUGAUAACAAAUGGCCUACUGCUAAUGAGGUCAGGCAUCAGUUAGAGCAAGUGUUUGCAACCUUUAAAUAUAAAACGAUAUUCUUUAGCCAAGUUAUCAUGUAUAUGGGGAUACGGUUACGCCCUUGCUGUAGCCAUAGGUCCAAUGGACCUUAGGGGGGUGGGGACGGAACUUUGCAUGGUACUGGCUGUUCAUAUUGUGAAUGGUAAUAUAAAAUCACGAAUUGUCAAUCCAUAGUUUGCCUUGCCUUAA